rnacentral:tRNA from 1 species
UGGAAAACAGUUUAGUGUAAAAUGCCAACUUUGGGAGCUGGACACAGAGGUUUAAGUCCUCUUUUUCUGA